AAUUGGAUUGGUCAUUUUGAAAUGCCAUCUACAACGUGACGACAAGCACUUGGCCCUAAAAGGAAUAAUAAUAUUUUGUGUAAUUGAUCUUAGUUGAAUAACUAAUUAAGCGCAAUAUAAUAAUAUUCUAAGAAGCGCCACUUGAUGGAAAAACCAUAUUUCGUUUGUUUCAUUCAGUUGCGGUUAACCACUUCUUUAAAAUCAUCGGUUCAAGUUACGCGAAACACCCUAUCGCCAGCCCUUCGGCACUGUGCAUUUCCUGCUGCCUGCGAUAACCGGUGCUACUCCGCCUGCUUCGUCGAGGUGCUUGGUCGACGACUGUGGAAACGAGACAGGCAAAAUGCAAGUUUUCCGUACCUGCGGUGCGCCAUACCCGAACAUUCUACGGAAGAAGUGGCGGCUUCUGGUCCUCAGACAGGGAUGGCAAUCCUUAUCGUCAUCAACGGCAACGCAGCCACCAGACAAAAACCGGUCGCAGCCGUCGACACAGCAUUGUGGGCUCGGUGACUGUGGCUCUGCACAGUUCGCUCAACCUUUUGCUUUUGCAAUGCAGUUGCUGAGCCCGCACUGCUGUGUUGCCGCUGCUGUCAAAUGUGCUCAUGUAAUCCACGUCUUGCUGACUUUGGCCGGUGAUGUGCAAACGAACCCGGGUCCUGACAUUCCUGUGGGGCUUCAGCGGACGUCAUCCAUUCAGAAGAGCUACGAUGAGAACACGCGUGUUCGCACUCCAGCGGUCGCUACAAUCGAUCGUUCGCUCUACCUUACAGCAUUAGGCGCCACAGCUCGCCUUGUAACCGCCACUCGAGUUCUACAUUAUUUUGAAACAGAUUGUAGUCUGUGACGCUCAUUUCAUCACGUGACCCUUUGACUUCCAGAUGCGGGGCCCCCGCUUAAUGCUCGAAAU